UACGUAGGGUGCGAGCGUUAAUCGGAAUUACUGGGCGUAAAGCGUGCGCAGGCGGUCUGUUAAGUCCGACGUGAAAUCCCCGGGCUUAACCUGGGAACUGCAUUGGUGACUGGCAGGCUUUGAGUGUGGCAGAGGGAGGUAGAAUUCCACGUGUAGCGGUGAAAUGCGUAGAUAUCUGGAGGAAUACCGGUGGCGAAGGCGGCAUCCUGGACCGGCAUUGACGCUGAGGAGCGAAAGCCAGGGGAGCAAACGGG
rnacentral:rRNA from 1 species